AUAUACAAACCGAUAUUGAAAAAUAACGAAAGUGAAAAAUAAAUUGCAAAGUUAUAUAUAUACCAAAAAUGAAAAAUAAUAAUAAAUGAAAAUUAUGUGUCAUAUUUACAUCCUAGUAUCACAUAUCAAAAUAGGACCACCCCUCCAAAAACGAACUAGCAUUGUAUUCAAUGCUAAUAGCAAAAAAUAAGAUCAAGGAAGGGAUUAGAGAGUAAAGAAAACUCCCUAUUGGCCCUCUGUCUGCAUAAGGUCAUGCGGUUGGGUCCCUGUAUCAUCUCCUCCAGGGUCCUCCAGCUGAAUCUCCAUGUCAUGAGCAUGAGGAAUCAAUCUUUUCCUCUUAGUCUCUCCCUUAGCUUCCUGCUCUGGUACCUGCUCUGCCUGAGCUGCUGGCAGUGGAUCCUCCAAUAAUAGCCCCGGUGGAAUGUUGCUAUCUGACUUCAUCUUCUCUACCUCUCCUCUCAACAGCUUCACCGGCUCCUUUGAGGCCCGAGUCUUUUUCAACUUCUUCGUCUGCUUUCUCAGCUCCUUAUUUGAUUUUCCUUGAAUUUCAAGAGCCUCCAUGAUGAGCUUAUGGUUGUCCACGAGCUUCUUCUGGUUGUCCACGAGCUUCUUCUGGUUGUCCAGAAGCUCCUUGAGAGAUUCCUCCACUAAAGAUGGGACCUGGAGCUGUGCGGGAGCUGACUGGAUGCUAUUGAACUGGAUAGUACGAAUAGCUUAGAAGUUGUUUCAUGCAUUGGUGUAACAACUUUCAGAACCGCUGACAGCAGAUAAAAAGGUGCAGCCACGGAAUAAGUACCAUUUGAGAGCGGAAAAAGGGGCGUGGUCGUGGAAGAAUGGGGAUCAGACUAACAAUCCUCUGGUUCUACUAAGUUGCUAAUAGCGUAAAAUUAGGCACAUG
rnacentral:lncRNA from 1 species